rnacentral:rRNA from 1 species
CCUACCGGAGGCAGCAGUGGGGAAUAUUGGGCAAUGGGCGCAAGCCUGACCCAGCAACGCCGCGUGAAGGAAGAAGGCCUUCGGGUUGUAAACUUCUUUUCUCAGGGACGAAGAAAGUGAUGGUACCUGAGGAAUAAGCCACGGCUAACUACGUGCCAGCAGCCGCGGUAAUACGUAGGUGGCAAGCGUUCUCCGGAUUUAGUGGGUGUAAAGGGCGUGUAGGCGGGGGGGCAAGACAGAUGUGAAAACGCAGGGGUCAACCCUGGGCCUGCAUUGGAAACUGUGUUGCUUGAGUGCUGGAGAGGCAAGCGGAAUUCCGUGUGUAGCGGUGAAAUGCGUAGAUAUACGGAGGAACACCGGUGGCGAAGGCGGAUUGCUGGACAGUAACUGACGCUGAGGCGCGAAAGCGUGGGGAGCAAACAGGAUUAGAUACCCGAGUAGUC